rnacentral:tRNA from 1 species
GGCGCUGUGCCUGAACUCAAAGGGCCACUUUGAUAGAGUGAAUUAUGGGGGUUAAAGUCCCCCCAGCUCCU